UUCAAAAAAUGAAAAAAAUCAAAAAAAAAAUCACACAACACACACACACACGGCCGUGAACUUCUUGGAGGAAAGGAAGAGAUUUGAUUUUUUCCGAUUCUUGCCUGAUCGUCGCUCUGUUCGUUGCUACGCGUAGGCCUCAAGGCGAUGGUGAGCCUUCCGCUGAAGCUUAGCUGUUCGAGUCGGAGACCGUGAUCGUGGGCGGUCGAGUAGAGGUGGAUGAAGCAGUUGCUUCUCCCUUUUUGGUGGACUAUGUUUGAGUUUCUUUUUCCUUAUGAAAACUCUGUUGUUUAAACCUUAUUUCGCCACUGUUAAAGUGUGCGUACUUAUUUUGGAAACUUGUUCAUGAUGAUGUAAGACACUAUUAUUAUUAUGUCGGGAACGGGUUGUUGAAUAAAGUCUAUGUUAUAUAUUCAA